rnacentral:sRNA from 1 species
CUCGCCCUGCUCAGCCUGUCUUGCUGCGAGAGCCGGAAGGUGCAGGGCCGCCCGUCCCCGCAGGCCAUCUGGUCCAUCACCUGCAAGGGGGACAUCUUCGUGAGCGAGCCCAGCCCGGACCUGGAAGCCUACGAGCACCCCCUGCCCUGCGACCAGAUGUUUUGGCGGCAGAUGGGAGGCCACCUGCGGAUGGUGGAGGCCAACAGCCGGGGCGUGGUGUGGGGCAUCGGCUAUGACCACACGGCCUGGGUAUACACAGGCGGCUAUGGAGGCGGCUGCUUCCAAGGCCUGGCCAGCAGCACCAGUAACAUCUACACGCAGUCAGACGUGAAGUGUGUUCACAUCUAUGAGAACCAGCGCUGGAACCCUGUCACAGGCUACACCAGCAGUAGAGACAGGAUUUCACCAUGUUGGUGAGGCUGGUCUCCAACUCCUGAACUCCCGAAGCCCGCCUCAGCCUCCCAAAGUGUUGAGAUUACAGGCAUCGUCAGGCGUGAGCCACCGCGCCCGGCCUCCACUUCUGCCUUUUCCAAAUUGACGAAAUAAACACUUAGUAAUAGAAACAAC